UGGGGAAUCUUGCACCAUGGGGGAAACCCUGAUGCAGCGACGCCGCGUGAGCGAUGAAGCCCUUCGGGGUGUAAAGCUCUUUCGGCAGGGACGAUAAUGACGGUACCUGAAGAAGAAGCUGCGGCUAACUACGUGCCAGCAGCCGCGGUAAUACGUAGGCAGCGAGCGUUGUUCGGAGUUACUGGGCGUAAAGCGUGCGUAGGCGGUGGACCAAGUCUGGUGUGAAAUCUCCCGGCUUAACUGGGAGGGUGCGCCGGAAACUGGUUUGCUGGAGUGCGGGAGAGGCAGGCGGAAUUCCAGGUGUAGCGGUGAAAUGCGUAGAUAUCUGGAGGAACACCCGUGGUGCAGACGGCCUGCUGGACCGUAACUGACGCUGAGGCACGAAAGCGUGGGUAGCAAACAGGAUUAGAUACCCUGGUAGUCCACGCCCUAAACGAUGCAUAUUUGGUGUGGGCAGUUCAGUCUGUCCGUGCCGAAGCUAACGCGAUAAAUAUGCCGCCUGGGGAGUACGGUCGCAAGGCUGA
rnacentral:rRNA from 1 species